UACGGGGGGGUAAGCGUUGUUCGGAAUUACGUGGGCGUAAAGGGCUCGUAGGCGGCCAACUAAGUCAGACGUGAAAUCCCUCAGCUUAACUGGGGAACUUGCGUCUGAUACUGGGAUGGCUUGGAUUCGGGAGAGGAAUGCGGGAAUUCCAGGUGUAGCGGUGAAAUGACGUAGAUAUCUGGAGGAACACCGGUGGCGAAGGCGGCGAGCCCUGGAACGGUACUGACGGCUGAGACGCGAAAGCCGUGGGGAGCGAAACAGG
rnacentral:rRNA from 1 species